AGGCGCGUAGCUCAGUGGGAGAGCAUUACCUUGACACGGUAGGGGUCGGCAGUUCGAUCCUGCCCGCGCCUACUA
rnacentral:tRNA from 1 species